GCCUUCGUAGUGUAACGGUAGCACGCUGGGCCUGUAUUCCAGAGGUCCGUGGUUCGAUUCCCGGCGAAGGCG
rnacentral:tRNA from 1 species